rnacentral:lncRNA from 1 species
UUCACAAGUACAUCCCUGUCGUAACUUGCUGGUACACUCGACCGCUACGACAAUCCCUUUCAGUACAGUCUUAUUAUCGGAAUUACAUAACUAAUUUUGAAAGUUUGAGCAAGUCUUGUUGCCAAAAAAGGUUCAAAUAAUUAUGAAAUUCUCAUGGAUUUUCAACCUAAAAGCCUAAUAACUUUUUCGUGCAAAGUUCACCAUAAAGUUCUAAUCACUGGAAAGCAUUAAAAGACUCAGAAUGGUCGUUGGUUUCUGAUGAUUGCUGUGUAACUUUGCAUAGAGGUCAUUUUCUUGUUACCUCACCAAAACGACUCCCUACAGUACGUUUCAAGCACUUAACACUAACAACAAUUAAAACACAAACUACACCGUUUUGACAUUUGCUAGAAUCCUUUUUAAACUUCAAGUACCGUUGACUCCAGCCACAUAUCAACUACCCAACUACUCAGCUACUAGAGAAAAAGAUUACUCUUUCAACACUCCCCCAUAAUCUUUGAUCUAGAAAAUUCACAAAAGUGCUCUCAAAUACUCAAACCUUUCUCUGCUCGGAUUCUUUGUAAAGAUAUCAGCUAAUGGCUCAUU